ACGUGAUGAUGUUGAUAAUGAUGAUGAUGAUGAUGAUGACGGUGGUGGUCAUCGUCAUUAUCAUCAUCAUCAUCAUAAAAUCAACAUCUCCAUCAUCAUCACCAUCAUCGUCAUCAUCAUCAUCCUUU
rnacentral:pre_miRNA from 1 species